rnacentral:lncRNA from 1 species
AUGUCCACCCACCUGCCAUACCGACAGGACUCGUACCACUGUGAACACUGCCGCAGGCUGGAGCUGCACGCCGUGCAACAUUGUUUCAGAAAAUGCACCGGGCUGAUCGAGCAAAAAUGUAAACUUCUGAUCGACGGGGUUUUGGGAACGUUGGUGAUCUUCCUGGUGCUGGAACUGCUGAUCUGCAUCACCACCAUGCUGUUUGAGCUCAGUGUCUUAGCUGCAGGUGGAAAACAGCGGACUUCCAGUCAGAGACCUGCCUACCCACAGACUCGGCCCCCACCAGCUCCAGCUGUGCAAGUUGUUCAGGCCUCCCCGGCAGAACCUGAGCCAUCCCAGGUGGCUGUUGUGGUGACUGAGGUUGAUCCAGAGCACAUAGAGGACAUCUCCACACCAAUAACUGAACCUCAAGUGGAGCCGAUAUAAACUGUCUCCAGAGAGUAAAAAUGGAUGUUUCACAGAGGAAAAUCACUUUGAAUUUUACUAAUAGUUUAAGUUGGACUCUUGUUUGUAAAAAGUAACUGUAGAUGGCAGCAUUCUGAGGCACUUUUCACACAUUCAGUCUGUUGUUGUGAUGCACUCAGAACUUUCUUUGAAGAAAAAAAAGCAGUUGAGGGGAAGUCUGGUAUAUACACUUAUGUGUAAAUUGAUUGUUUCAGUCUAAUCUAUGUGUAUGUAGAUAAAAAUGGCAGUAAUAGGACUAAGCAUUAUUCAAGAACAGCUUCAGGUGGGCUUUUUUUGCUUGCUCUCUUCAGGGGUCACCACAGUGAAUAAUCCUCCCAGUAUCUCACGUGCUAUAAAAAAGGCCACUACAACAGCAACUCAAUGAUAGAAGCUCAGAGAUUCACUUUCUAACACAUACAUUUCAAGAUAUCCAUCUCUCACAUAAGCAGGACUGGACUUGGACAACACCAUUCUAAAUCAAUAGAGGUGUGACGGUUUGUGUUUACGAUUUGAUUCACAUCAUAAUUUGUGGUUGCCGAUACAAUUCACUUUCAGUUUAUUUUGAAUGAUCAGAUUUAUUCUGAUUCAGCAACCUAAAAUCGAUUCAGGAAAUCUUUAGCCAAAAAUUCACCCAGUGUGACACAGAGAUAAAUGCCUGGUACUGAACAUUACAGGUUGAGUUUUACAGAUUUCUUGUAUUUCUUGCGAGGAAAUCUUGUUGUGCACAAAUUUAAUGUGCGUACAAACAAACAAGAAUUCAUGGAAAAUCCGUUCACAUUGUGUUUUUCCAACACAAAAAUGAUACAAAGGGAGCAUUAUUAGAACAUUCUACCGCACUGUAUGGUCAGAUGUCUUUUCCAAAAUUCAAAGUGUUUCCACACGUUGGACUGAAUGAUGGAUUGAUCAUUUUUUACAUCCAUCACACAUGUAUUGUGUCUGCUGUGAUGGCACUUGGUUGUUAUUAUGUUAUAGUAAAAUAAACUUACCAUGUCUCGAACCAAAUGAUAUUUUCCAAAAUCGAUUAUCAAUUUAUCUCAUUUUGAAAAGAUUUUUUAAUGGUUUACAUUGAUUUGAUUUGACUCUGCCUCAGACAGAUCGAUCUGGUUGGAUCAUUGGAUUAGAAAUGGAUUUAUUGAUUCAUUGACUAACUGUUACCCCAUUGUAAAUCAAUAAUACCAAUGCCUUUUCCUCUGAAGUAAGAACACGAUUAAACACUACUGAGAAGCCAAACUGAUCCAACUUUUGAUUGUAUGCAAAUCUGUUGAUAAGUUUGCUGAUUGUUUCACCUGUUCUGUCAAAAUAAAGACAAACAAAUACAUCUCAACUUUUAACAUGUCAAACUAUGAAUGAAAAAAUGUCUGUUCACUGCUGUAGAAAAGCUUUCACCCACACAUGGUGCCCUGUAUGUAUUCAUAAUCAAGUCUUACUGUGCAAAGAGGAAGAAAGAAACAUUUUUGUAGCUGUGAGUUGUAUAGUACCCCUAAAAGGACUUGGAAAUAAAAAAAAGAAAAAAAGUACUGAUUUCUCUUGUGCAUGAGAAAGUAUCUGGUGCUCCUUCUUGUUCUACCACAAGUGCUGGUAUGUAAAUGUUCAGUUAUAAAGAAAUUUUGAAC